ensembl:lncRNA
AAAGGUACAGAUUUUGUACAUGAUUAAAUAUAAAUUCCUGUUCACAUUAUCACUUUGUCCUCCUUUUUUUUAACUUUCUCUCUCUUCUGUCUCGUUAUGUCUUUGUCAGACUCAGAACCACCCUAUGAUGGCACUCAGAGAGGGAUGGACCGGUAUUUGGACAGCCUGUUUGACCCAGUUCUGUCUGAUGGAACUGGGGACCUUGAUGCAUCAGUUUUGUCUGGUAGGAUGAAGGGUGGAGGAGGUAUAGGUGGUGAUGAAGCACAAUCUCCUGCUAGGGUCAAUGUCUCAGCUGCUCUUCAGCCUGGAGCAGUUAGAGUUCUGCCACCCAUUCCAGGUGCUUCAGUAAUGUCCAGUAUGCCAGCGGUGCCCCCAGUGUCAGGUAUUUCUAAUUAAAAUAACUUCAGCUUUACAGGGAUUGAAAUUGAGUGAUUUGGACAAGUAUUCAUUAUGUCUUUCAAUUCUGUCUGUCAGACCCGCAGCAAACUGUCCUGGCCCAACAGCAACAAACCAUCAUCAACCAGCAAGCUGUCAUUAUGGCUCAGCAGAUGACCAUGCAGGCGAUGGCUAUGGUGUCCAGUCCACCAAUGUCUCCGCUCACCAGCCCCCCAACCAGCCCUCCUCCCACUCCCUACAGCACUCUGCCGCCUAGCCCAUACCCUGCCAUUCCUCCCAGCCCCUACGCUAACCUCCCCCCCAGCCCUUACGCCCUUCCUCCCCUUUCCAUGUACACAAGCCCCCCAGCGACCCCCCACCCCACCAUCCACUCCACCUCGAUAAACACCACCCCCAGCACCUUAGAGGAGCAACAGAAGCCCCUGGAGAAGAAGAGCAGCCCCCCAACACCACAACCACGGAGUACCACCACCACAAAGGCUGUUUCAUCUAAUGGGACAUUAGGAAAGAAACAAGCCCCCGCUGCACCAAUUAAACUUGACAGCAGGCCUGCCAAAAGACAUGGUGAGUCAUUGCAUUCAAUCAAAUAUCUGUGUGUUCAAGACUAA